GGACGUGAGGGUGACCUGCCUCCGAUGUGCCGCUCCCUGGACCCCUUACCACUCCUGUCCCUCUGUAAGUCGUGCUCUCGGUCUAAGAGGAGGACCUUCCCUGAUAGGGGAGCACCCUUCUUCCCUCAAGGGCGGGUGAGUAGCUGCACUUUUUGCUAAAGCCUCCAAACAGGCUCUCAAGGUCCCCGUGUAGGAGAAUGUAGGGUCGUGAGGCUUCCAGGACUACAGACACAUGCAGGCGAGGGGCUGCAUGCGGCGGCCUGCCUUUCCCU
rnacentral:snRNA from 2 species